UCUAAUUGUCUUUUUGUUGCUGAUUUUAAGCUUAAUUCCAGUGUACUCAGUGAGCAUAUCCAUUUCAAUCUUUUGAAACUUGUUGACAGUUGCUUUAUGGCCUUCACAUAGGGUCAAUUUUUGUAAAUGUUCCAUCUGCACUUACAAAGAAUGCACUUGUAAAUAUGCAUUUGACGUUGUUGGAAGCUAUGUUCACUGUAUAUCAAUUAAUUCAAAUUUGGUAAUCAUCUUGUUCAAAUCUUCUGUAUCCUUCCUGGGUAUUUUUCUGCUUGAUCCUUCAGUAACUGAGAGAGGUGUGUAAAAAAUCUCCCACCUAUGUGAUUGUGAAUUUUGUAUUUCUCCUUUUAGUUCUAUAAUUUUUCCUUUGUUUACUUUGUGGUGAUAUUAUUAGAUUCAUUCAACUUUAGAAUUGUUUUAGCUUCCUGGUUAACUGAACCUUGUAUCAUUAUGAAGUAUCACUAACUCUAGUAACUUUUUUUUGCCUUAAAAUCUCUUUCAUUUGAUAUAAAUAUAGCUACCCCAACUUUCUUUGUACAGUAUUUUUUAUCAUUUUUUCUUCCAGUCUUUCUAUAUACUUAUAUUUAAAGCUUGUUUCUUGUAAGCAGAAUGUAGUUAGGUUUUGUUCUAUUUGCUCUGACAAUAUUUUAAGUAGACUGUUUAACCCUUCUAUAUUUAUUGUAAUUACUGUUAUAUUGGGUUUUAAUCUACCAUCUUAUUUGCUUUAUACUUGGCCUGCCUGUACUAUGAUCCUUUCUCACUUCCUUUUGGAGUGAUUCAAAAUUUUUAUCGUGCCAUUUGACUCACUCUUUUGAGAGUCAUACACUUUUGUGUUUCUGCCUUUUUUCCCCCCAAUAGUUGCAACAUGUACUUUGACUUAUCAAAGUCAGAUACAGAUAAAUACUUCUGCCACUUCUUGGAUAAUGCAAGGAACUUGGACUGCUUUAACUCUUUCUACUGCCCUACUCUAACAUAUGCUAUUAUUGUCAGAUAUUUUAAUUCACUAUACAUUUAAAAUCCCACAAGAUAUCAUUGUUGUUGUAUAUGUAGUCAAUGCUUAUUUACACUCACACACAUAUUUACCUUUUCUAUUGCUUUCCAUUCCUUCCUGUGUCUCCUAGAUUACAUGUAAGCUUAUUUUCCUUCUGCCUGAAGAACACUCUGGUAUUUCCUUUGGCACAGGUCAGCUUGUGAUGAGAUUUAUAAAAUUUUGUUCUUCUAAAAGUGUCUUUAUUUCCUCUUUAUUUUGGAAGGACAUUUGUGCUUCCACAGACUUCUGCCUGCUAGUUAUUCCUUCAGAGCUCUGAAGAUACCAUCUCAUUGUCUCCUGACUUCCAUUGUUCCACUUGAGAAGUCAGUUGUCAGUCUUUUGCAUCUUUUCUCUCUGCUUGCUUUUAAGAGUUUAUCUUUGUUGUUUGCUCUUCAACAUAAAGUCAAUUUCCCCAAAAGGGAUGAGAAGAAAUCUGAGAGGUACGUAGGCAGGGAUGCUUCUGUGCCUCAGAUCCAAAGAUCUCCUUCAUAUAGGCCAAGGGAAACCCCAAGAGACAGUCACCAUAUACCUGGGAGCCCUAGGGUGGUGGCCACCAAAACUUGGGGUCUUCUCCAAGGAAGGUCUUGGGUCUGACCACUGAAGAUCAGGAUAAUAACUCCAGGUUAGGGUAGAAGAUAAUGGAAAGAAGGAAGGGACAGGGAGAGAAGACCCUACCUGAGCCAUUUACAACCAACCACAGUGAUGAAGUUAGGAUCUUGAAGCCUAAACUCUACAGCCAAUGAAUGGAGUUGCACACAGCACUAGAAAUUCAUUUCCAUGGGGGCAGUUGUUUUAUUCAUUGCUGAAUCCCCAAAACCUCGAAGAGUGCCUAGUAUGUAGCAAGCACUCAGUAAAUGUUUUUCAAAUGAAUUAAAAUGGAAUGAAUCCUGGGUUCUGCCUCAGUGGGCUCCUCUCCCUACCCCACCAGGUAGGUGAUGUGUUUGCCAGCAACACUUCUCCAUCCCCCAGUGAAUUCCCAAGCCCCUUAAUCAAAACCCUCUAACUGUGUGAUCAGUGUUUCUGAAUCCUCCCUGGUAACCCUCUACCCAGCCCUUAUGACACGUGCUAAGAGAGAAUUCAGUAGCCUUCAAUUUCACCUCAUAUCUGGCCUUUGGGUGAGUAUGUUACAGCAACACAUGUGGGCAUAUGUACAGAUAGCUGGUAGUGAAUGGCAUACAGUAAUUAGUUAGAAGAUUUUUUAUUGUAAAAUAGAGGAAAACCCUUUGAUAUGAUAUUCAGAGGUUGUGCCCUUCCUGUCAAAAUCUAAGGCUGCUAGUAGAAUUGCACCUACCACAGUGGUGGCAGAAAGAAGGCUCUUGACACAGCUGGCUUAUUUAGCAGAAUGUCCCCUGGCUGAGAGACCCACCCAUUGUUUCCAGUCUCCAGACAAGCCUGUGGUAUGGCAAACAGCAAAGAAAUAGAGCUAUGAAAAUACGCCUGCUGAACUCUGUAUUCUAAAUCUAAACCUGGGAAAUCAGAGAAGCUAAGAGUUCCUAGGCUGUAUGCCCUAAGAAGAAAAUGAGAGCUGGCAUGGAACCACGGGGGACUCAAAAUGGUUUGGAUCAAGAGGAGGAACAGAAGACAGGGCAGAACCUGAACACUGCCAGAAACCUGGGCUACAACAUGGCCUGGAACAUUCCUUCCUCAAUCCCCUGUUGAGGAGGAAUUGGUAGUUAACACCAGACACAACCUUCUAUUGUCUGAGAUUGCUGUGGCUAUGGCUGUACCUAACCGUUUAGAAAAACAUACGUCAUUCAUCUGUACUAAGGUUAGGUUCUUCCCAACAAACUCCUUGGCUGCCAUUACCGAGUUCUGGAUAAAGACCUCCCUCAGACACGGUUGAGGAGACGUAGAUGAACAAGUGGGCCAACCUAAGCAUCUUGGGUGAAGACCCUGGGUCUGGAGUGGGAAGGCACAUCAACAGCCACCACCUCACAGCAGAGGGCCAGAACCAGGCCUGCCUGCUCCUAUCCGGGGUCGCCUGGCUGUCCCACACAACAUGUGCACUGUGGGUUUGUUUCCUCUCUGAAACUGGUCUUUCCCUGUUUUUAGACAAGGAUAAACACACCCUGAAAACUCAUCUGCUGAUUUUUAGAGGGGAAAAAAGAGAUUUACAAGAUUCUGAACUCCAUUUUGCAAAUAGCCAGAAAGGUGUCAGUUGAAAUGAAUAAAUAUUUCUGGCGAAGAGGACAGGGUACGUUUCUCUGGCAUGUCCAGAUGGUUGCUCGGUGCUCUCAGGCAGUGAUAGCCUAGCCUGACAGAGUUGGGCUGAGAUCAGAGCCCCACAUUUCAAAGCACUACCAGCAUUGGCCUCUGAACAGAUGACAAGCGCCGGCCAGGAUGCUCCUGGUGGCCCUUGCAGGGCAGUGAGGACUCUGGAAGGCCCCAGCCAAAUCCAGGCCUCCAGCAACAUCCUCUCCUCUUGGCCUCAGAGAGCAGAAGGGCAGCCGAGGGGAAGCAGAAAAGAGCUUUUGGUUUUUCUGCAACUGCUUUGAUUUUUUGUUUUUCAAGAAGAAAACACUCAGCCCGAAUCCCAGGGGAAGCGGGGAGGAUAGAAGCGAAGGCUAUUUCUGAGCCUGCUGCCUCCCCAAAAGGAAGGGUGUGAACAGUGCAGAGAGAGUCCAGCCCUCGCUUCCUGGAAUUGAGCCUGUGGGCAGCCUUUUGCAGUUUGCAACUAUUCUUCAAGCACAUUCUCUCAUUUUUGGUCCUCACAGGAAUCCUGGUGGAUGAGAGUGGACAGGGGUGUUAUCCCCGCAUUACUAGUGAGCAAGCAGAGGCUCAGAGGCAUUAACUACCUUCCGAGGAAGAGACAGUGUUCGGCUCCUAAGGCAGGUCCUCUGAUUCCGGACCUCCUGCCUUAUCCACCCUCUCCACGCGCCUCCCUGGGCUUCACCCUUUCCACACUCCUGUGCCCAGGCAGAGUCUCUGCAGGCCAGCAUUAUGGAAAAGACCCAGCUUAGAGUGAAACGCACCAACAUCCUGUCCCAGCUCUGCCGCCAUCUGGCUGGGUGGCCUUGGACACAUCCCUGAUCUCUCUGGGCCUCUGUUUCUUCAUUUGCAAGUGUUGAUAACAGUCCUUUUCUUGACUACCUUUAUCAAUUGAUGGGAGGAUCAAAUAAGGUACCAUAUGUGAAAUGACUUUGAAAAUUCCAGCAUAUUCUACCAAAUAUCGGGGCUGACUAGUAUUACCUUCACGGUGGGAGUGAGCAAAAAGGCUCCCGGCAUCAGGCUGUUCCCCUCCUCUCCCUUCCACUGACAAUCCAGCCUCUAGUGAGUCUUUUCUCUUUAUCAAAGGGAAGAUCCUCCAGGAAGGGCUAUGUUUCUAACUAACCAUGAUCAGUCAUGAGUUCCUCAGAGUAAAUGAGUUGAUCAGCCAUCCAGGGCUCAGGGGAAAGCCACAGCAGAGGGUGUCCAGCGCCUAAAUUAAUAAAAACCACAUGACAUCUCACAAAAGAGAUGGUCAAAAUGGUGUCUCCAGGUGCAGGGAGCUUUCCUUUCAGUUCUGCACCCUGAGGGUUCUGAGAAUGGGGCCAACUCACAAUAGGGAAGAAUUCUCUUCCUCCUCAACACCCGCUGACUCACCCAUCCCAUACAGAGAUGCCCAGGCCUCAGCCAGGGCAGGAAGUGUUCCUGGGACCAGGGCCCUCCUCCUUGACCACCCCACCCCCAACAAGGACACCUUAUGGGGGCAGGGCAAUAUGUGACCACUCAGAUCCCACCCUUGCACAAGGGCCCACGUAGGAGGAAGGAGACCCAGCGUGUCCCCCAGGUGCUCCCAUUCCUCUCCUCCAUCCGCCCAGGGACACAAGCCAGACUGAUUCGUCCAUGUGCCCACUCUGGGCUGCGCCCUCUUCUGCUGCAACUGUAGGGAGCAGCCAACGCCAGCGAGAGACGAAAGCAGAGUUGGUCUCCCCGCUGGGUCCCUCUCACUGCCCCUCUGUGUGCCCUCAUCCCACCUCUGAGAACCUCUCCCCAUGUUCCAAAGUCCCCAGUCCCUCCCUGCAGCCCUGGCUCUGGUGGUCACAAGGGACAGCUUCAGAUGGGACCUUCCCGACAUUGGUGUGAGGCCCAAAGGCAUGGGGUCCCACUGGUGGAACAGUGUGCACCGCGGAAGGGAGCUGAGGAUGCGCUGUCGCUAGGAGCCAGAGUCACUCACACCACAGCUUCCAUCCUCCGUGAUCUGGUCUGCACAAGCACUCCAUCCUGCAGUUAGUCCAGCCCUGCAAACGGAGCCCGAGUCAGGACGGACCCAACCUGGCCUUUCAGGACCCGGCCUCUGCAGCAAAGAACUGUCUCCAGCGACCAUCCCCAGUAGAAAAGUGGUUUUUGCUUCGAUCCAUCACAAAGCACCACUGCCAUCUGGUGGCAGGAUCUUGAAUUGCAAGCAAAUUCCCCAAGAUUAAAUACGCUCUAGG